rnacentral:rRNA from 1 species
UACGUAGGGUGCGAGCGUUAAUCGGAAUUACUGGGCGUAAAGCGUGCGCAGGCGGUUUUGUAAGCCAGAUGUGAAAUCCCCGGGCUCAACCUGGGAAUGGCAUUUGGGACUGCAAGGCUGGAGUGCGGCAGAGGAGACUGGAAUUCCUGGUGUAGCAGUGAAAUGCGUAGAUAUCAGGAGGAACACCAGUGGCGAAGGCGGCCUUCUGGACCAAUACUGACGCUCAUGCACGAAAGCGUGGGGAGCAAACAGG